ACUCCUACGGGAGGCAGCAGUGGGGAAUUUUGGACAAUGGGCGAAAGCCUGAUCCAGCAGCCGCGGUAAUGACGUAGGCCCUAGGGUUGUAAAGCACUGUGGGAGGGGAAGAAAAACCGGAGUGUAUCCGGUCUUGACGGUACCCUGUUAGAAAGCACCGGCUAAACUCCGUGCCAGCAGCCGCGGUAAU
rnacentral:rRNA from 1 species